CCUACGGGAGGCAGCAGUAGGGAAUAUUGCUCAAUGGGGGAAACCCUGAAGCAGCAACGCCGCGUGGAGGAUGAAGGUUUUCGGAUUGUAAACUCCUUUUGUUAGAGAAGAUAAUGACGGUAUCUAACGAAUAAGCACCGGCUAACUCCGUGCCAGCAGCCGCGGUAAUACGGAGGGUGCCAGCGUUACUCGGAAGCACUGGGCGUAAAGAGCGCGUAGGCGGGUUAGCAAGUCAGAUGUGAAAGUCUAUGGCUUAACCAUAGAACUGCAUUUGAAACUGUUAUUCUAGAGUAGGGUAGAGGUAGGUGGAAUUCGUGGUGUAGCGGUGAAAUCCGUAGAGAUCAAGAAGAAUACUCAUUGCGAAGGCGGCCCGCUAGAA
rnacentral:rRNA from 1 species